rfam:Monodelphis domestica chromosome 2, whole genome shotgun sequence.
ACUCAAUGGAAAGAGCAAAAUAACACAGGAAACCUCACCCAGCCUGGACACAGAAAGGAUUGACAGAUUGAUAGCUCUUUCUCAAAUCUGUGGGUGGUGGUACAUGGCCGUUCUUAGUUGGUGGAGUGAUUUGUCUGGUUAAUUCCAAUAACGACUGAGACUUUGGCAUGCUAACUAGUUACGUGACCCCUGAAUGGUCAGUGCCCCAACUUCUUACGGAAGUGUUGUUCAGACACCAGAGAUUAAGCAAUAAUAGGUCUGUGAUGCCCUUAGAUGUCCAGGGCUGCAUGGGUGCUACACUAACUGGUUCAGCAUUUGCCUACCCUACACCGGCAGGCAUGGGUAACCCAUUGAACCCCAUUUGUGAUGGGGAUUGGGGACUGUAAUUAUUCCCCAUGAACGAGGAAUUCCCAGUAAGUGUGGGCCAUAAGCUUGUGUUGAUUAAGUCCC